UACGUAGGUGGCAAGCGUUGUCCGGAAUUAUUGGGCGUAAAGGGUGCGUAGGCGGCGGGGCAAGUCUGAUGUGAAAUCCCGGGGCUCAACCCCGGAACUGCAUUGGAUACUGCCUUGCUAGAGUACUGGAGAGGGAACUGGAAUUUACGGUGUAGCAGUGAAAUGCGUAGAGAUCGUAAGGAAGGCCAGUGGCGAAGGCGAGUUCCUGGACAGUUACUGACGCUGAGGCACGAAGGCCAGGGGAGCAAACGGG
rnacentral:rRNA from 1 species